rnacentral:rRNA from 1 species
UUGAAGUGUGGGAUAACUCCGAGAAAUCGGAGCUAAUACCGCAUGUGAUCGUGAGAUCAAAGUUGGGGAUCGCAAGACCUGACGCUUCAAGAUGAGCCCGCGGCCUAUCAGCUAGUUGGUGAGGUAAAAGCUCACCAAGGCUAAGACGGGUAGCUGGUCUGAGAGGACGACCAGCCACACUGGAACUGAGACACGGUCCAGACACCUACGGGUGGCAGCAGUCGAGAAUUUUUCUCAAUGGGCGAAAGCCUGAAGGAGCGACGCCGCGUGGGGGAUGAAUGGCUUCGGCCCGUAAACCCCUGUCAUUUGCGAACAAAUUGACUCACCUAACACGUGUGUCAUUGAUUGUAGCGGAAGAGGAAGGGACGGCUAACUCUGUGCCAGCAGCCGCGGUAAUACAGAGGUCCCAAGCGUUGUUCGGAUUCACUGGGCGUAAAGGGUGCGUAGGCGGUUGGGUAAGUCUGACGUGAAAUCUCCGGGCCUAACCCGGAAACUGCGUUGGAUACUAUCCGGCUAGAGGAAUGGAGGGGAGACUGGAAUACUUGGUGUAGCAGUGAAAUGCGUAGAUAUCAAGUGGAACACCAGUGGCGAAGGCGAGUCUCUGGACAUUUCCUGACGCUGAGGCACGAAAGCCAGGGGAGCAAACGGGAUUAGAUACCCCGGUAGUCCUGGCCCUAAACGGUGCACGUUUGCUGUAAGUGGAAUCGACCCCACUUGUGGCGUAGUUAACACGAUAAACGUG